AGUGAACGCUGGCGGUAGGCCUAACACAUGCAAGUCGAACGGCAGCACAGUAAGGGCUUGCUCUUACGGGUGGCGAGUGGCGGACGGGUGAGGAAUACAUCGGAAUCUACUUUUUCGUGGGGGAUAACGUAGGGAAACUUACUCUAAUACCGCAUACGACCUACGGGUGAAAGCAGGGGAUCUUCGGACCUUGCGCGAUUGAAUGAGCCGAUGUCGGAUUAGCUAGUUGGCGGGGUAAAGGCCCACCAAGGCGACGAUCCGUAGCUGGUCUGAGAGGAUGAUCAGCCACACUGGAACUGAGACACGGUCCAGACUCCUACGGGAGGCAGCAGUGGGGAAUAUUGGACAAUGGGCGCAAGCCUGAUCCAGCCAGACCGCGUGGGUGAAGAAGGCCUUCGGGUUGUAAAGCCCUUUUGUUGGGAAAGAAAAGCAGCAGGUUAAUACCCCGCUGUUCUGACGGUACCCAAAGAAUAAGCACCGGCUAACUUCGUG
rnacentral:rRNA from 1 species